rnacentral:rRNA from 1 species
UAGGGAAUCUUCCGCAAUGGGCGAAAGCCUGACGGAGCAACGCCGCGUGAUUGAUGAAGGUCUUCGGUUCGUAAAACUCUGUUAUUAGUGAAGAACAAAUGUGUAAGUAACUAUGCACGUCUUGACGGUACCUAAUCAGAAAGCCACGGCUAACUACGUGCCAGCAUCCGCGGUAAUACGUAGGUGGCAAGCGUUAUCCGGAAUUAUUGGGCGUAAUGCGAGCGUAGGCGGUUUUUUAAGUCUGAUGUGAAAGCCCACGGCUCAACCGUGGAGGGUCAUUGGAAACUGGAAAACUUGAGUGCAGAAGAGGAAAGUGGAAUUCCAUGUGUAGCGGUGAAAUGCGCAGAGAUAAGGAGGAACACCAGUGGCGAAGGCGACUUGAUGGUCUGUAACUGACGCUGAUGUGCGAAAGCGGGGGGAUCAAACAGG